rnacentral:rRNA from 2 species
GGGGCAUGCGAGGGCUGUCGCUGACUCAAAGUCGUGCACGCCCGAGUGUGUCGCCUCACAUAAUAAUCCAUCUCACCCUUUGUGCAUCACCGCGUGGGCACCCCUUUGGGAUCAUCUCGGAGGGGGCUCGCGUUUUCACACAAAACCCCCCUUUUAAAAGUGUAGAAUGACCUCAUUUAUGCGCUAACCCGCAAUCAAUACAACUUUCAACAACGGAUCUCUUGGCUCUCGCAUCGAUGAAGAACGCAGCGAAAUGCGAUACGUAAUGUGAAUUGCAGAAUUCAGUGAAUCAUCGAAUCUUUGAACGCACCUUGCGCCCCCUGGUAUUCCGAGGGGCACACCCGUUUGAGUGUCGUGAAAACCUCAACCUCCUUGGUUUCUUCUGGAGACCAAAGCAGGCUUGGACUUUGGAGGCCUUUGCUGGCACCUCUCGCCAGCUCCUCUUAAAUGAAUUAGCAGGGUCCUCUUUGCUGAUCCUCGACGUGUGAUAAGAUGUUUCCAUGUCUUGGUUUCUGGCUCUGUCACCUUUGGGACCCGCUUCUAACCGUCUUCAACCUUGCGUUGAGACAACGUUCGAGCAUGUCUCCCUUCUCGGGAAGCUCCCUCGACCCCACGAACCCUUGA